rnacentral:rRNA from 1 species
UGCAGUCGAGCGGACAGAAGGGAGCUUGCUCCCGGAUGUUAGCGGCGGACGGGUGAGUAACACGUGGGUAACCUGCCUGUAAGACUGGGAUAACUCCGGGAAACCGGAGCUAAUACCGGAUAGUUCCUUGAACCGCAUGGUUCAAGGAUGAAAGACGGUUUCGGCUGUCACUUACAGAUGGACCCGCGGCGCAUUAGCUAGUUGGUGGGGUAAUGGCUCACCAAGGCGACGAUGCGUACCCGACCUGAGAGGGUGAUCGGCCACACUGGGACUGAGACACGGCCCAGACUCCUACGGGAGGCAGCAGUAGGGAAUCUUCCGCAAUGGACGAAAGUCUGACGGAGCAACGCCGCGUGAGUGAUGAAGGUUUUCGGAUCGUAAAGCUCUGUUGUUAGGGAAAAACAAGUGCGAGAGUAACUGCUCGCACCUUGACGGUACCUAACCAGAAAGCCACGGCUAACUACGUGCCAGCAGCCGCGGUAAUACAUAGGUGGCAAGCGUUGUCCGGAAUUAUUGGGCGUAAAGGGCUCGCAGGCGGUUUCUUAAUUCUGAUGUGAAAGCCCCCGGCUCAACCGGGGAGGGUCAUUGGAAACUGGGAACUUGAGUGCAAAAGAGGAGAGUGAAAUUCCACGUGUAGCGGUGAAAUGCAUAGA